CCCCGCUCACAUCGCUGGUGAGACCUAGCCGCCGCUCCCCAACUCCACACUCGCGCCCUCCUCCUCCUCCUCCUCUACACCGCCUUCACCCAAACCCUAAAGCCGCCGCCAUCUCCUUCACCCUGCCCACCGGACCCCCACCGCCCACUUCCCCAGCGUCGUCGCCGUCGUCCACCACCACCCUCACCGCGCCCCCACCUUCUCCCAAUCCCCUCACCUUCUCUCCCGUGGCCGGUGGAUUCGCCCCUCGCGGGAUCGAUUCCUACCGCGCCGCCGGUGCGGCCUCCUCGCGAGCCAGAGCUAGGGUUUCGGGGCGAGCAGCAGCCACCCUCCAUGGAGGAGGACAACCACCACAGCGACGUCGGCGCCCCUCACAUGGUCGAGCUCGACGGAAGAGCGGUCGCCAUGGCCGCGUUCGUCUGCUCCGGUGUGGCGCAGCCGAGCUUGGCCAACGACGAGGUCGUGUACCUCCGCCUCGAUGACUCCUAGCGCGGGGGAUGUAUUUCUAAUGUCUAGGUGAACCGGUUUACAAUGCAGAGACUGCGACAAGAAAAUAACGAAGACCAACGUGUGUAUGUGUGCCAAUUACCAUGGAUAAUGCUCGAUUCUUCUGUUUCCAAAUGGCCCUUCACACUACAGGAAAGUGACAAUCAGUAAAAGUUAAGGUCAGACUUUGGAGAAGGUGAGCCGUGUUAGUUCAAAAUUGAUUUGGAAUUGAGCACUCAGAAAUUUUGAAGGUCAACAUCAGAAAUAGCCGUGAUGCUUUUGGCCUCCUUUGUUGUUCUCAUGUCUGACACUUCUUCACCAGGAGGCGCAACCUGCUACUCGAGCCACUGAUGCAGGUUCAUCUCUAAUAGAUGCACCGUCUUUGUUCUGUUGCAAUAUUCAUUUGGAUCUCUCAAUUGUGAAGUACCAUCUUCUGCACUUUACUCUACUGGCACAAUGUUACUAAUUUGCGUUCAAUCUCAGUAUGCCAUUUAUGAAUUUUGUAUAGCUUGCAUAGUGCCUAGGUUCAUCAGCUAAUUCUGUUAUUUUGCAGAUAUUCCAUAUUAUCAUUAGCAAGAUAAAGUCGCUCAAGUAUUGGCCACUACUAUUUGCAUUAGAUUCGCCUCAGAAUAUACCCUUUUCACUUGGAAGGAGGAAGUAGGAGUACUCAGUAAUGGUCAACUAUAAGCUAACAUAGAUGUUCUUUCAUUAACAAAGACAAAUGGCUUAUUAUUGUCUAUAUUUCUAGAGCUUUGUUCCCAAUUGUCGUAUCUCAUUAUGUUUAUGAACUACUUGGCCAUAUUUCUUUACACUUUGUACUGAACUUGAUGCAAUAGAGUUCAAAUCAGUUGUUCUGAGCAAGCACCAUCCCUUGCUUUUGGUACACUUUUUGCCUUUAUGCUUUGUAGUAAAGUUGUAGGUCAGUUAUCUUGGGAACAACUAUACCUUGCUUUUGGUAUAUCCUUAAUCUAUAUGCUCUAUGCUGAACUCAGUUAUCCUUGGCAGCAGCUAUAUAUCGUAUUUUUGGUGUAUCUUUAGUGUUUGUGAUUUGUAUAAAA